GCCUGCGUGAAGUUGGAAUUGCUAGUAAUCGCGGAUCAGCAUGCCGCGGUGAAUACGUUCCCGGGCCUUGUACACACCGCCCGUCACACCAUGGAAGUCGGUAAUGCCCGAAGUCAGUAGCCUAACCGCAAGGAGGGCGCUGCCGAAGGCAGGAUUGAUGACUGGGGUGAAGUCGUAACAAGGUAUC
rnacentral:rRNA from 1 species